UAUUGCACAAUGGGGGAAACCCUGAUGCAGCGACGCCGCGUGAAGGAAGAAGUAUCUCGGGAUGUAAACUUCUAUCAGCAGGGAAGAAAAUGACGGUACCUGACUAAGAAGCCCCGGCUAACUACGUGCCAACAGCAGCGGUAAUACGUCGGGGGCAAGCGUUAUCCGGAUUUACUGGGUGUAAAGGGAGAGUAGACGGAAGAGCAAGUCUGAUGUGAAAGGCUGGGGCUUAACCCCAGGACUGCAUUGUAAACUGUUGUUCUAGAGUGCCGGAGAGGUAAGCGGAAUUCCUAGUGUAGCGGUGAAAUGCGUAGAUAUUAGGAGGAACACCAGUGGCGAAGGCGGCUUACUGGACGGUAACUGACGUUGAGGCUCGAAAGCGUGGGGAGCAAACAG
rnacentral:rRNA from 1 species